UACGAAGGGUGCGAGCGUUACUCGGAAUUACUGGGCGUAAAGCGUGCGUAGGUGGUUUGUUAAGUCUGUUGUGAAAGCCCCGGGCUCAACCUGGGAAUGGCAAUGGAUACUGGCAAGCUAGAGUGCGGUAGAGGGUAGUGGAAUUCCCGGUGUAGCGGUGAAAUGCGUAGAGAUCGGGAGGAACACCAGUGGCGAAGGCGGCUACCUGGACCAGCACUGACACUGAGGCACGAAAGCGUGGGGAGCAAACAGG
rnacentral:rRNA from 1 species